AUUAAUUCUCAUGUGAUUGUAAAACAUGCGAGUUAGGUAAAGCGAACAUUGUCGUAACGUGUGCUGAACGCGUCAUUGGGUAAACAGAGUUAUCAGAAAUUCAUUAUUUGUCAACUGCUUAGUUUAUAUUUUAUCUUAUAAAUAUAAUGAUUACCAAGAAUCAUCCAGUAAGUACGAGUGUACAAUAAAUAUCGGAAAGCUCACAAUGAAUGUGAUUUCACGGCGUCUGUUUAAUUGCAAGCCGACUGUUAAUACUGCCGGGAAUACACGAACUAGUGUACUAUAAUGUCCAGAGGAAGGCGACAUAAAAAAUGUUUAACGUCUAUCAAUAAAACACUGUUAAAAUGCGUAAUUUAAAGGUCAUUUUGUUUUAAAAAAAAAGUAUCUACGUAUGAAAUGAUUUUACAUAUUUCACGUGUAUAUAUCUGUGACCUUGUGUUAGAGAUCUUCGUAAGUUUAGCCUCGUUGUUUCUAAGUAAUAGCUUUUGCCUUCACGUGGUUUAGAUACUAAUUGACCUUAAUUAUGUAAAAAAAAUACUAGAAUUAUAUAAAAUCAUAUUUAAUUAUUAGCUUUAACUAAAUACAACAAUGCAAUUAGAUAUUCAACAAAUUUUCCUUAGAUUUAAACUCUCACCCAUUAAAAUAACUGUUUUAAAUGCUCUGAAGGUUUACAAACAGUAAUUAAUUGUCCUUUGUUUGAAUAAUAAGUAACUAAACUCUCAUGGAAGUAAAGCGUCGUGAGAAAACUGGUUCUGUUGUAAAAAUUAGGUCUAUUGUUAUAAAAUACCGUUUUUUUAAUACAGUUUUGGGAUGACUUACAUUAAUUGUUGAUUUUUUGUUAACAAUGAUAAAGAUUUUGAUAAAGAGGUAUUUUAAUAGAUCCAUCUUUGAAAACGCACAUUGUAAGCCAAUCACAUGGAAGCUAGUUUUUGCAAAUUAAUAGUUAAUGAAUACAAGUAAUAAUUAUAUAACACGAUUUAUCAAAGAUAUAAUAAUUUGCUACAAGUAUUAUAUUAUAAUAAAAAGGUUAAAUGAACGAAA